GCCGCAGUGUUGGAAUGGUAGACAAGCUGGACUUAAAAUCCAGUGGUAGCGAUACCGUGAGAGUCCGAAUCUCUCCUGCGGCA
rnacentral:tRNA from 1 species